GACUAGGUGUCCGCCUACCUAGCAAUGAUGCCUAUGGACCACAGCAGCCUGCACAGUAACCCUGAGGAUGCAAUAGUGGCACACACACUUUGAUGGUAAUCAUCAACCAACAACCAGUGAUCUCUAAUUGGACUUAAGACUUGCUAAAUAAAAGGAAAACAUGCCCGUAGUGAAAAUCAAGCUAAUUCUGCAGCUCUGGUGAUGUCAUGAUUAUUGGAGGAGUAGCUACAGUCACUAAUUUACUAAACCAACAUGAUCCCUGACAACAGUCUAUAAACAUUUGUCUUUGUACCCACAGAAAAGUGUAGUUUUCACCCCUCGUCAGGAAGACUUCUCUUUACAGCUGAGGGAAACUACUAUAGAAAAUCACAACCAAUCAAAAUGUGGAAGCCGGGAUCACUGUCCCAGUCAAUCCGUCUUCAAAAUGUUCCUGUACCUAAGGCUCAGUAAAUGCUGUAGAAGAGACAAGAUUUUAAGAGCCGGGAGUAUUAGGGAUUUUGCUGUGAGAUCGUGUCUGCUAGUAACGUCAGAAGCUCUACCUUGUAAAGUCUCACCAGUAUGACUGUUCAAAUGUGCGAUGACCAAGGAUGGCAACAGAGGACAUACCAAACUGGACAGAGACAAGCCCAUGAGGCUUCAACCAUAUGCAAAGUACUAUAGACAACUGAGGAGAACUGAUGAUCACACCAACUGGCUGUCCAGUGCCAAAUAAUCAUAAUCAGCCCUGAAAACCUACAGGAGCCUAUUUAAUCUAAUGUGUGUGUGUGUGUGUGUGUGUGUGUGUGUGUGUGUGUGUGUGUGUACUAAUAAUACACAUGCAGUAACAAAUAGUAAAUUAAAAUGAGGCUGUGAAUUUAAAGGUGAGCAGGAGGCAUAUGGAAUGGAUUUUUUGAAAAGACAUAAAAAAUAAAAUGCAAAAGAAUUCACGUAAAGAAAUUACAACGUGGUUGGGGGAUUGCAGAGGAGCAGGCCUCUGUACGGACUUCUCCUUUCUGGGUUCAGAAUCCCCCUUUUUACUGGGUAUCAGCUCCCUCUCCUUACAUUGCUCUCCUCUGAAGCUGUUCCUGACAUUAGAGCCAUGGACUGGAGGGAAUUUCCUCCUGGGUAAAUCCAAGCUAAGUGAGUUUUGCAUCUUGAAUGUGCCAUAAUGAAAGUAUCACCAGUCUCAGCAACAGUCCUGGGCUCUGAAAAGUCCUCGCAUAACCAAAACACUAUGGCUUUGGGUUUAUUAAUUAUUUUAUAAAGCAGAAUUUUUGAAUGAUUUAAUUAAAAGGCAUUAUAAAACAAUACUGGCUAAGAAAGACUUGAUUUGUGUGAUAAAGGGAAUAACGUAAGUUUUUUUUUAUUAUAACGUAAGUCCCCCCAAGUUAUCUACAAUUCUUAUCCCUCAAACCUUUCAUUGUUCUUUUACAUAACAAGAGGGACUUUGAGACCUUGGGGAAAAUUAUGUUCUGGAAAAGUAGAAUGUAUCACAAAGAUCCUUAAGAAAUACAUACAUGAUGAUUGGUGUCAGAAGACAAGGGCAUGUCAUAACAAGAGACAGGUGGGCCAUAAGCCCAGAAUGCUGGCUGCUUUGGGAGCCAGUGGUAGCAAGGUAUGGAUUCCCUUUGGAGUAUCCUAAAGAAACCAAUCUUGCCUAUACUUUUUUAACCCUGCAAAAUUCAAUGUGGACAUCUCCUUUCUAGAACAUAAGAGUAAAUUCACAUCCCUUUAAGACACUGUUGUUCAUGGUAUUUUUUUUUCUUACAGCAGCAAUAGUAAACUAAUACCUCCUACAUAUUUGAAAGCAAAGAUUUAAGUUAUGACUGUCAAGUAUCAUGGUAGGAUCCUAUAGUCCCUAGUACUUAGAGGUCUGAGCUAGGGGUUUAUCUGAGCUUUCGAGUUUGUGAUCAGCUUGGGAAACACAGCAACAUCCCAUCUUAGAAAACCAAAUGUGUUUUUUUUUCUUCUUUUUAAAAGUUCAGCUAAAAUUUCAAAGUAUAAAUGUUCAGAAAAGCUUAGUUCAUUUAGAUUCCAUUUGAAACAGGUCUUCUAAUGAAUUUUCUACAACGGUGCCCACUUAGCUGUAAGGUUCAUAAUUUACAACCUUUUUUCCCCUAAAAUUUCUGUCAGUCAUUGGCGAUUUCAACGCCACACUUUUCCUCCGUAGGUAAGCGGCUGGCAUGCACACAGCAAGAUUGCCUUAACUGGGACUGUGCUGUCUCUUUAGAGCAGCGGUUCCUGCCCUCAGUCUAAUGGAAACCCUUGCAAUAAUUCCUCUGAAGAAGCCGCUAAAUCCUUAAUCUUCAAGCUGCAGGUAAGGAAAUUUGGCCUCAUUAGACUCCCAGAAUCCCUUGAGAAACAGAGGCACAUGGCAUAACUAAGUUCUCUGUUAAGGAGAGAAGGAAGAGGAUGUGCCAUGAAGCCAAGAGCCAUCUUUCAGAUUUUUGUUUCUUCCUUUACCAUCCCCCCAAACUUUUAUAAGCUAUUUUCCAAUGCCCCUUCCUGGGCUCUUGAUUAAUCUCAAUGUGGAUAAAUUGCUAGAGUUCACUAUGUGAUUUAGGGUUGGAUAUCCAAAGACGACAUAAAGGCCGAUGUUAAAAUAACUGAAGAGAAACAAAUUUUAAAAGCAUCCUCCGUUAAAAUUUCCAAAGGUCGGUGCCCCUAACCAGAGAGGCAGGUGUUAGAUGACAGUCGACGCUGAGAACCCUUUGCAGAUGGCAGCUUAUAAUUCUGGCAGUGCAAUUUUCAGUUAAUGUGGGCUUUGAGAUGCAAUAGUUAUGUCCGACAGCCUUGUGGUUGAUUCUAAAUGUGAUGGAUUUUUUUUUUCACCAAGCUGCACACAAAGUUCACAGUUGAUCAUCGG
rnacentral:lncRNA from 1 species